rnacentral:rRNA from 1 species
GCCUUGGCAGUCUCAGGCGAUGAAGGACGUAUUAACUUGCGAUAAGCCCAGAUUAGGCAGUAAAAGCCUCUUGAGUCUGGGAUUUCCGAAUGGGGAAACCCACUUGCAUAAGCAAGUAUCAUUAACUGAAUACAUAGGUUAAUGAAGCGAACCGGGGGAACUGAAACAUCUAAGUACCCCGAGGAAGAGAAAUCAACCGAGAUUCCGGUAGUAGCGGCGAGCGAAACCGGAUUAGCCCUUAAGCUAGUUCUGCGUUAGGUGAAUGUGCUGGAAAGCACAGCGAUACAGGGUGAUAGCCCCGUAACCAAAAAUGCAUUAAUAGUGAAAUCGAGUA